AUUGAACGCUGGCGGCAGGCCUAACACAUGCAAGUCGAACGGUAGCACAGAGAGCUUGCUCUCGGGUGACGAGUGGCGGACGGGUGAGUAAUGUCUGGGAAACUGCCCGAUGGAGGGGGAUAACUACUGGAAACGGUAGCUAAUACCGCAUAACGUCACAAGACCAAAGUGGGGGACCUUCGGGCCUCACACCAUCGGAUGUGCCCAGAUGGGAUUAGCUAGUAGGUGGGGUAAUGGCUCACCUAGGCGACGAUCCCUAGCUGGUCUGAGAGGAUGACCAGCCACACUGGAACUGAGACACGGUCCAGACUCCUACGGGAGGCAGCAGUGGGGAAUAUUGCACAAUGGGCGCAAGCCUGAUGCAGCCAUGCCGCGUGUAUGAAGAAGGCCUUCGGGUUGUAAAGUACUUUCAGCGGGGAGGAAGGCAGUGAAGUUAAUAGCUUCACCGAUUGACGUUACCCGCAGAAGAAGCACCGGCUAACUCCGUGCCAGCAGCCGCGGUAAGAC
rnacentral:rRNA from 1 species